AUGAAUGGGCGGGCCUUGAUCCCACAAAUAAAUU
rnacentral:tRNA from 1 species